GAUGAAGAACGCAGCGAAAUGCGAUAAGUAAUGUGAAUUGCAGAGUUCAGUGAAUCAUCGAAUCUUUGAACGCACAUUGCGCCCGCCAGUAUUCUGGCGGGCAUGCCUGUCCGUGCGUCAUUUCAACCCUCAAGCACGGCUUGUGUGUUGGGCCUCCGUCCUCCUCCCGGGGGACGGGCCCGAAAGGCAGCGGCGGCACCGCGUCCGGUCCUCGAGCGUAUGGGGCUUCGUCACCCGCUCUUGUAGGCCCGGCCGGCGCUUGCCGACACAUCAAUCUUUUUUCCAGGUUGACCUCGGAUCAGGUAGGGAUACCCGCUGAACUUAAGCAUAUCAAUAAGCGGAGGA
rnacentral:misc_RNA from 1 species